rnacentral:rRNA from 1 species
ACCCGCUGAACUUAAGCAUAUCAAUAAGCGGAGGAAAAGAAACCAACAGGGAUUGCCCUAGUAACGGCGAGUGAAGCGGCAACAGCUCAAAUUUGAAAUCUGGCUCUUUAGGGCCCGAGUUGUAAUUUGUAGAGGAUGCUUUUGGCGCGGUGCCUUCCGAGUUCCCUGGAACGGGACGCCUUAGAGGGUGAGAGCCCCGUACGGUUGGACACCAAGCCUCUGUAAAGCUCCUUCGACGAGUCGAGUAGUUUGGGAAUGCUGCUCUAAAUGGGAGGUAAAUUUCUUCUAAAGCUAAAUAUUGGCCAGAGACCGAUAGCGCACAAGUAGAGUGAUCGAAAGAUGAAAAGCACUUUGAAAAGAGGGUUAAAUAGCACGUGAAAUUGUUGAAAGGGAAGCGUUUGCGACCAGACCUUUUCCUAGCGGAUCAUCCGGUGUUCUUCGCCGGUGCACUUCGCUAGGUCGAGGCCAGCAUCGGUUUCUGCAGGGGGAUAAAAGCCCAGGGAACGUAGCUCUUUCGGGAGUGUUAUAGCCCUCCGCAUAAUACCCUUGCGGGGACCGAGGACCGCGCUUUUUGCAAGGAUGCUGGCGUAAUGGUCGUCAACGACCCGUCUUGAAACACGGACCAAGGAGUCGAACAUUUAUGCGAGUGUUUGGGUGUUAAACCCUCACGCGUAAUGAAAGUGAACGGAGGUGAGAGCCCUUACGGGUGCAUCAUCGACCGAUCCUGAUGUCUUCGGAUGGAUUUGAGUAAGAGCAUAACUGUUCGGACCCGAAAGAUGGUGAACUAUGCGUGGAUAGGGUGAAGCCAGAGGAAACUCUGGUGGAGGCUCGCAGCGGUUCUGACGUGCAAAUCGAUCGUCAAA